rnacentral:rRNA from 1 species
UACAGAGGUCUCAAGCGUUGUUCGGAUUCAUUGGGCGUAAAGGGUGCGUAGGCGGCGCGCUGAGUCGGGUGUGAAAUUUCGGAGCUUAACUCCGAAACUGCAUUCGAUACUGGCGUGCUUGAGGACUGGAGAGGAGACUGGAAUUCAUGGUGUAGCAGUGAAAUGCGUAGAGAUCAUGAGGAAGACCAGUGGCGAAGGCGGGUCUCUGGACAGUUCCUGACACUGAGGCACGAAGGCCAGGGGAGCAAACGGG